rnacentral:rRNA from 1 species
UACGGGGGGUGCAAGCGUUAUUCGGAAUCAUUGGGCGUAAAGGGCGCGUAGGCGGCUUGGUAAGUCAGAUGUGAAAGUCCGGGGCUUAACCCCGGAAGUGCAUUUGAAACUAUUAGGCUUGAGUAUGGGAGAGGGAAGUGGAAUUCCUGGUGUAGAGGUGAAAUUCGUAGAUAUCAGGAGGAACACCGGUGGCGAAGGCGACUUCCUGGACCAAUACUGACGCUAAGGCGCGAAGGCGUGGGGAGCAAACAGG